rnacentral:rRNA from 1 species
CCUACGGGAGGCUGCAGUGGGGAAUAUUGCACAAUGGGCGCAAGCCUGAUGCAGCCAUGCCGCGUGUGUGAAGAAGGCCUUCGGGUUGUAAAGCACUUUCAGCGGGGAGGAAGGCGGUGAGGUUAAUAACCUCAUCGAUUGACGUUACCCGCAGAAGAAGCACCGGCUAACUCCGUGCCAGCAGCCGCGGUAAUACGGAGGUUGCAAGCGUUAAUCGGAAUUACUGGGCGUAAAGCGCACGCAGGCGGUCUGUCAAGUCGGAUGUGAAAUCCCCGGGCUCAACCUGGGAACUGCAUUCGAAACUGGCAGGCUAGAGUCUUGUAGAGGGGGGUAGAAUUCCAGGUGUAGCGGUGAAAUGCGUAGAGAUCUGGAGGAAUACCGGUGGCGAAGGCGGCCCCCUGGACAAAGACUGGCGCUCAGGUGCGAAAGCGUGAGGAGCAAACAGGAUUAGAUACCCGAGUAGUC